CUUGGCGUUAAGAAUGCGAUCGAGGUUGGGGUCGUCAGCAGAUGACGAAACCAAAGAAGCAGGAAAUAAAACAGAAUUCACGAUACUCCUCGGGUCGUCAUCGCUAUCAUGAUGUAAAGCUUCUCUAUCUUGGAAGGUCUCGUCCAUUUGCCUUGUGACCACUAGACGAGUAUCAUCUAGGCCCGGCCAGUGAAACACUAAGAAAACGUGCUUCGGUAGUGUUGAUACAGUUGCUAUAACGUCGAUGUGCCACUGUACCUAAAUAAUAAAAACGAGAUAGUGGCCAAAGAAAACAUACUAUCAGAUUGCCCUUCGAGAAGGGCGUUCCCGCCGGGACCGAAAAACGGCCGCAAAAUAAUACCCCUGGGCCAACAUAUCGUGGUCGUGCAACAUCGUGACAAGUUCACGAUAAGUCGAGUGUUACGUGUAACCAACAUCAUUUGACCGUGCGAUACAUCCGGGAUGUUGGUGAGCGUCU